rnacentral:rRNA from 1 species
ACGGCGACGGCGACGGCGUCGUCGCGUGAACGAGAUUGGUCGUCUCUUCCGGCGGACAUACUGGUGGAGAUUCUGGAGUAUUUGCGGUGGUCGAGCCACCCGAGUUUCGGCUUGGUGUGCCGAAGAUGGCAAUCUGCACGCGCUCUAUCGCCCUUCUACCCGGCGUGGAUCACUCCUCUCCUCCUCAAUGUCGCCGAUGUGGGCAGCAGCAACGUGCGGUACUACAGCCCCUUUUACCACAAGAAUUUCGAGAUCGCCUACAAGCUGAACACGCCAGGCGCCAAGAUCUGUUGCGCCACCGGACAACACUUGACGCUAUGCAUGAAGAACCUGGUCCUCACGGCACAACUCCUGACAGGCGACGUCUGCAAGUUGCCACCGAUCAUACGUGGAAGGUUCGACGCGGUCGUUUAUGACGGCAAUCGUAGGAUGUUUGGUGUCGAGAAGCCGUUCGGUAUGCUGCGGAUUGCCCGUUGCAUCAAAAACAAUAUGGGCGAGUGGGCGGAGGACCUGAUUGAUUUCAUGCCACACGGUCCAAUGUUUCCCCCGUCGCCAGAUUGUAACCCAGUUCUCCACAACGGCUUGAUGUACCUAUUGGGAGAAGAUGGAGGGCUAGCAGUCUAUGAUGUGAGUAGGCAUGAUGGAAACUUUGAAAUCCUGGACAAGCCCAGCAGCUUUGGAUUCGAAUGCGAAGACAGCUACUUGGUUGAGUCGGACCAACACGAGCUCAUGGCUGUCCUUUUUGGGCACCGUGGGACGCCGGUAAACGUUGUCAAGCUCAAUGAGCAUACAAUGGAGUGGGAGAAGAUAGAAAACCUAGAGGGGAGAUCCCUAUUCACCGGAACGUUGUCGACGACAAUGAAGGAGACUAACAUCAAGUGGAUGCAGAACAACAUACUUCUCCCUAGGUUCUAUGAUUGGCCUCAGACCGUCCUCGUUGACCUUGUACAACGAGACAGCGAAUUGGCCUUCGUGCCAAAUUCAAGAUUCUCAGAUACCACGAUAGAGGAUAACUAUGGCACAGACAUAUGGACUUAUGAAUUGGGACAAGGUGAGGAAGCAAAGGAAUUUUGGGAAACGGAGAAAGUGAAUUAUAGUAUUUGGGUUGAUUUCAAUAGUUAUUAA